UACGGGGGGAGCAAGCGUUGUUCGGAUUUACUGGGCGUAAAGGGCGCGUAGGCGGCCACGACAAGUCGGUUGUGAAAUCUCCGGGCUUAACUCGGAACGGUCAACCGAUACUGUCGGGCUAGAGUGCAGAAGGGGCAACUGGAAUUCUCGGUGUAGCGGUGAAAUGCGUAGAUAUCGAGAGGAACACCUGCGGCGAAGGCGGGUUGCUGGGCUGACACUGACGCUGAGGCGCGAAAGCCAGGGGAGCGAACGGGAUUAGAAACCCCCGUAGUCC
rnacentral:rRNA from 1 species